CUUUACUGUAGCCUGGUAUUGGGUUCGGGCUUUGACUACGCAGGAUAGGUGGGAGGCUUUGAUCCAUUGCUUGUGGGUGAUGGUGAGCCAACGGUGAGAUACCACUCUUUCAGAGCUAGGGUUCUAACGGUCACCCGUCAUCCGGGGACCGGACAGUAUCAGGUGGGCAGUUUGACUGGGGCGGUCGCCUCCUAAAAGGUAACGGAGGCGCGCAAAGGUUUGCUCAGGCUGGUUGGAAAUCAGCCGACGAGUGUAAAAGCAGAAGCAAGCUUGACUGUGAGACCUACAAGUCGAACAGGGACGAAAGUCGGCUUUAGUGAUCCGACGGUUCUGAGUGGAAGGGCCGUCGCUCAACGGAUAAAAGUUA
rnacentral:rRNA from 1 species